CAGCAGUGGCCUUACUUCUAGCGGCUGGAUCCCGGGUUCUCCGCGAGAUCGCGAGAUAUUCUGCCCGCACGGAAGCGACGACUGGCCUGGCCAGAGGACUCGGGUGGGAGCGAGGUGCCGGUCCCGACAGGACGGUGAGAAAUUGUUUUACAGCCUACCCGUAUAUUACAAGAAAUCUCAAGUCAAACACUGGAAGAGAUGUCAGAAGAUUCAGAAAAGGAAGACUAUUCAGACAGAACAAUCAGUGAUGAAGAUGAAUCGGAUGAGGAUAUGUUCAUGAAAUUUGUAAGUGAAGAUCUUCAUCGGUGUGCACUUUUAACAGCUGACUCUUUUGGUGAUCCCUUCUUCCCCCGGACUACACAGAUACUAUUGGAAUAUCAGCUAGGGAGAUGGGUGCCACGUCUUCGUGAACCACGGGAUUUAUAUGGUGUCUCUUCUUCUGGUCCAUUGAGCCCAACACGGUGGCCAUACCAUUGUGAAGUCAUCGAUGAAAAAGUCCAGCAUAUUGUAGCAGUGACGAGAGAAUGAGAGCAGAAGAGACCCAAAAGGAAGAGGAAAGCAAGACCCCGUCGGCCCACUGCUUCUCAGUGUCACUUCCAGCCAAAUGUGCUCAUUCCACUCAACUUGGUUCCACCUCACCUAACUAGAAAACCCUUCUGUCACAUCUUUGCCACACCUUUCUUUUCCUUAAAUUUCCUAGCCCUCACUUUCAGGCGUCAUUUUGCCCUCAGUCACAGGAGUCACCAUCAGCAGCUCAGAGUGGGGAGAGUUUCUAUUUUCCUUAGUUGCUUGGUAAUCCCCCACUGUUACUGCUGAGGUUCUUUCAGAUGUGGGCAGCUGUGUUUCUG
rnacentral:sRNA from 1 species